rnacentral:rRNA from 1 species
AAACUUAAAGGAAUUGACGGGGCCCGCACAAGCGGUGGAGCAUGUGGUUUAAUUCCAUGCAACGCGAGAACCUUACCUGGGCUUGACAUCCCGGGAAUCCCCUGGAAACAGGGGAGUGCCCUUCGGGGAACCCGGUGACAGGUGCUGCAUGGCUGUCGUCAGCUCGUGUCGUGAGAUGUUGGGUUAAGUCCCGCAACGAGCGCAACCCUUAUCCCCAGUUGCCAUCAGGUAAAGCUGGGAACUCUGGGGAGACUGCCGGUGAUAAACCGGAGGAAGCGGGGAUGACGUCAAGUCCUCAUGGCCCUUACAUCCCGGGCUACACACGUGCUACAAUGGCAGGUACAGAGGGCUGCGAAGCCGCGAGGUGGAGCGAAUCCCAGAAAACCUGUCUCAGUCCGGAUUGAAGUCUGCAACUUGACUUCAUGAAGGCGGAAUCGCUAGUAACCGCGAAUCAGCAGGUCGCGAUGAAUACGUUCCCGGGCCUU